AAGUCGUAACAAGGUUUCCGUAGGUGAACCUGCGGAAGGAUCAUUAUUGAAUAAAAUUUGGAGUUGAAGUUUUUGCUGCUGGCUUGAUAAGAGCAUGUGCACACUUUGCUUCAUUUAUUAUUUUACCUCCUGUGCACACUUUGUAAAUCUGGCAUUAAGGAUUGCAGGGUUGAUUCUCUGCUUUUCUUUACUUUUUAUCCUCCAGAUUUAUGUGUUUUUUUUUACACACACCAUCUAGAAUGUAUUUUUGUUUGUUAUUAAAAUAAAUACAACUUUCAACAAUGGAUCUCUUGGCUCUU
rnacentral:misc_RNA from 1 species